GAGAAGUCGAGAUCAGGCUCGAAUAACCAUGGCUGGCCGGAGAAAAGUUGGAGACGGCCAUAGAACUCACAUCAAACAAAGUCUGGGCCAAGCUUCCUUUUGGUCAGGUCUUGAAACCAAAGUAACCAGGCGUGCAGGAGUUAUAGGAGGUCGGUAUAGGACCUCAAUGGCCUUGGAAGCCAUGGAUUCCGGUGGUUUUAGGGUGGAAGUGGAGGGAGGCGGCUAGGGUUUGAGAAGAUUUAAGAGAGAAUUGAGAGAAACGGGGGAUUCAAAG
rnacentral:lncRNA from 1 species